GACGAACGCUGGCGGCGUGCCUAAUACAUGCAAGUUGAGCGCUGAAGGUUGGUACUUGUACCGACUGGAUGAGCAGCGAACGGGUGAGUAACGCGUGGGGAAUCUGCCUUUGAGCGGGGGACAACAUUUGGAAACGAAUGCUAAUACCGCAUAAAAACUUUAAACAACAAGUUUUAAGUUUUGUAAAGAAUGCAAUUGCAUCACUCAAAGAUGAUCCCGCCGUUGUAUUAG
rnacentral:rRNA from 1 species